GCGAGGGUGGUGGAACUGGUAGACACGCUGGAUUUAGGAUCCAGUGGGUAAUUCCAUGCGGGUUCGACUCCCGCCCUUCGCACCA
rnacentral:tRNA from 2 species